GAGGUACUUUCCUUAAACCUGACUUGGGACUGGCGCAACCAGUUCGUAUCUUAUUUGCAGGACGGGAUACUACCCCCGAUAAAAAAGAGGCGAAAAAGCUUCGCGUACAGGCUGCCCGAUACUGCAUUAUCAACGACAACCUUUAUAAAAGGACUUUCGGUGGCCCCUUAGCCAAGGGCUUAGGGCCGCAGCAAACAAGACCGGUACUCGAAGAAGUACACGAAGGACAUUGCGACGCCCACACUGGCAACCGCGCCCUCGUGAGGUGCAUCAUACGUGCCGGCUACUAC
rnacentral:lncRNA from 1 species